AAGAUCGAUGGGUUCAAGCAGGAUAGCUGGUGGUGGUUAUUGUUGCAACAAAUAGAAAAGAAGACCUUAUCAGUGCACCCCAUGCCCACGAUGAUUCAUUGCUGCUGCUGCACCACAAACCCAAGAGGAGCAGGUCAGGGUCAAAGAAAGGAACAGAAAAUAGAAACAAGAAAGACAAAAGAGAAGAGAUGGGGAUUGUACAAAACUUCCUCGAGCUCUCCAUCAAUUUAUGUCUCGUGCAGCCAUGGAGUCUGCAGAAGCUGAGAAGCAAGAGACAAAUGGCGGUAGAAGACCAUGUUGCUGCUACCAUGUCUGUUGAAACAUGCGACCAGCUCGGCAACCUACAACGGCAUCGGCACAAAGAGGACAUCGAGAAUUUGGAAGCGCAAUGCCCAGCACUAGGUUUCUCCAUGUCUCGCUUCAGAGUUCGGGCUUGAAGGUUUAGCAAGUGACUACAAUCUGGGAACCUGGAGGAAGCCGUUGAGCAACUGACCAAGGGGUGAUCCUAGUGAACCUGAAAAACCAUAUAUGGUAAAAAGAGGUCAGUCACAAUAGCAGCAAUGCUUGGAGAGCUUCCUGAGUUCAAAAUGUCGCGACUCUUUGUAUUUGGAGCUGUCCUCCUGAGGAGCUGGAUGCAGAAUGAAUGAACUUCUCGAUCUCGACAUGUAGAAGAAGAAAAUGGUAAAUGGUGGUAGAGUUAGGAGCUGGAUGUGUGUGAAUUUCUCUCGAAACGUGCAAGACAGUGUUGCUACCAAAUUCUGUCGCGAACUCGUUUUUAUGUGCCAAUCUUCAGGAUCCCUGACAUGCUUCUGAAGCCUGUUCUUCCAGCUAUAUACGUGCAUCCGGAUCAUGUGCAACGCAAGGAUCAGUUGACUAGGGCACUACCUGAGCGGCACCACCAAGAUGUCGGCGAGCACACGCCAUGACACCCUUUACGCCAAGAUGUCAUCGUUGUCAACACAUUUUAUUACUGCCAGAAGACGACGGACGUAGGAUGAAUAUCGACCACGUUGAGGUGCUCACAACCGUUUGGGCUUCUUACUACACAAUCCACAAGAUUAUGCAAGGGCUUCUUGAUCGGUAUACUGUGGCUGGAUACUCAAGGCCCUCAUGAUGUUUGUUGGGAUGGCUUAUUACUUCAGUGGUUGUGUGAAGAAUGUCAUACAGACAUACAACAUUGAGAGGCACUGGGUGUCCCUCAAUGAUGAAAACAGGGCCAAUGGUGAUUCCGCGAUUAUAUGUAGUUUGUCUUCUGUUUUAGAAACAUGUUUUAAGCUGAGUUCAGAGUUGAUCAUUCCCCUAACUUGGGCGCAGGGCAAUUUGAAACAA